CCUACGGGAGGCAGCAGUGAGGAAUUUUCCGCAAUGGGCUAACGCCUGACGGAGCAAUGCCGCGUGGAGGAGGAAGGCCUGUGGGUCGUAAACUCCUUUUCUCAGAGAAGAAGAUCUGACGGUAUCUGAGGAAUAAGCAUCGGCUAACUCUGUGCCAGCAGCCGCGGUAAUACAGGGGAUGCAAGCGUUAUCCGGAAUUAUUGGGCGUAAAGCGUCCUGAGGUGGCUUACCCAGUCGACUGUGAAAGCUCAAGGCUCAACCUUGAAACGGCAGUCGAAACUUGUAAGCUUGAGUACGGUAGAGGCAGAGGGAAUUCCCGGAGGAGAGGUGAAAUUCGUAGAUAUCGGGAGGAAGGCCAAAGGCGAAAGCACUCUGCUGGGCCGAUUACUGACACUGACAGACGAAAGCUAGGGGAGCGAAAGGGAUUAGAUACCCCUGUAGUCCUAGCCGUAAACGAUGGAUACUAGGUGUUGCGCGACUCAACUCGUGCAGUGCUGCAGCUAACGCGGUAAGUAUCCCGCCUGGGGAGUAUGCUCGCAAGAGUGAAACUUAAAGGAAUUGACGG
rnacentral:rRNA from 1 species